AAGUCGUAACAAGGUUUCCGUAGGUGAACCUGCGGAAGGAUCAUUACAGUGUUAGGCUUCGGCCUCAUUCACACCCCUUGCUGAACCUCUGGUUUCUUUGGCGAUGUCAUGGACUCGUCAAACUUUAACUCUGGGAAUGCGAUACUGUCCGAGUGCCAUUGAAUGAUUAAAACUUUCAACAACGGAUCUCUUGGUUCCA
rnacentral:misc_RNA from 1 species